rnacentral:rRNA from 1 species
AGCAGCCGCGGUAAUUCCAGCUCCAAUAGCGUAUAUUAAAGUUGUUGCAGUUAAAAAGCUCGUAGUUGAAUUUCGGGAUCAAUAUUUCGGUCAUGCCGUUGGUAUGCACUGUUAUCAUUGAUUUCUCACCUUCUAAAGAACCGUAAUGCCAUUAAUUUGGUGUUACGGGGAAUUAGGACUGUUACCUUGAAAAAUUAGAGUGUUUAAAGCAGGCUCGCGCUUGAAUACAUUAGCAUGGAAUAAUGAAAUAGGACGUUGAUCCUAUUUGUUGGUUUCUAGGAUUGACGUAAUGAUUAAUAGGGAUAGUUGGGGCAUUAGUAUCUUAAUGUCAGAGGUGAAAUUCUUGGAUUUAUUUGAAGACUAACUACU